CACGUUUCAUAUCCGGUAAAUAUUUCAUCAUUUAUGAUCCACGUUUUUUGAUUUGAUUAAUAAAAUGAAUACUGUAAGUAAUAAUGCCGAUAUGGAUUCAAAAUCAGAAGUAAAGAAGAAAAGUAAUCCUAAAAAGGAUGCUAAGAGAGAAGAAAAGUUAAAGAAAUUUCUACAAAAACAAGAAAAGUCACAAGCUUUGACGCAGAAUAAAAGUGAG